rnacentral:lncRNA from 1 species
GGCGUGAGCUGUGGGUUCUAGGAUUUCAACUCUAGAUUUUAUGAGAAGAAAAUACAACAGUGAGUCUUGUCCAAUCUUCAACACCACCACCUCCUUAUAAAGCUUCAUCUUUUGAUCUGGAGGAGUCCAGAAGAUCUGAAGAAAGGAGCUUAGAUCAGCCAUCCAGAGUCUUCGACACAAGCUAGUACUCCCACGAAGGAAGAUCCGAUCAGGGCUUCGAGUGGAUGAUCUAUAGAGGUCGGAUGACCUAUACGACUGCUCGACAUCAGUGAGAGAUUCAUACCAUGCUUACUAGUAGUAGAGAUCAUCG